rnacentral:rRNA from 1 species
AGUGAACGCUGGCGGUAGGCCUAACACAUGCAAGUCGAACAGCAGCACAGUAAGAGCUUGCUCUUACGGGUGGCGAGUGGCGGACGGGUGAGGAAUACAUCGGAAUCUACUUUUUCGUGGGGGAUAACGUAGGGAAACUUACGCUAAUACCGCAUACGACCUACGGGUGAAAGCAGGGGAUCUUCGGACCUUGCGCGAUUGAAUGAGCCGAUGUCGGAUUAGCUAGUUGGCGGGGUAAAGGCCCACCAAGGCGACGAUCCGUAGCUGGUCUGAGAGGAUGAUCAGCCACACUGGAACUGAGACACGGUCCAGACUCCUACGGGAGGCAGCAGUGGGGAAUAUUGGACAAUGGGCGCAAGCCUGAUCCAGCCAUACCGCGUGGGUGAAGAAGGCCUUCGGGUUGUAAAGCCCUUUUGUUGGGAAAGAAAAGCAGCAGGUUAAUACCCCGCUGUUCUGACGGUACCCAAAGUAUAAGCACCGGCUAACUUCGUG